GGAUGUGAGGGCGAUCUGGCUGCGACAUCUGUCACCCAUUGAUCGCCAGGGUUGAUUCGGCUGAUCUGGCUGGCUAGGCGGGUGUCCCCUUCCUCCCUCACCGCUCCAUGUGCGUCCCUCCCGAAGCUGCGCGCUCGGUCGAAGAGGACGACCUUCCCCGAUAGAGGAGGACCGUUCUUUGGUCAAGGGUAUACGAGUAGCUGCGCUCCCCUGCUAGAACCUCCAAACAAGCUCUCAAAAUGUGCUUUGAUGAAUGGAGAUAAUAUCUGUCAACAUAUUCGUGUAUUUCCCACGAGUAUAUUUUG
rnacentral:snRNA from 1 species